ACACAGGUCUCUGCUAAACCGUAAGGUGAUGUAUAGGGGCUGACGCCUGCCCGGUGCUGGAAGGUUAAGAGGAGUGGUUAGCUUCUGCGAAGCUACGAAUCGAAGCCCCAGUAAACGGCGGCCGUAACUAUAACGGUCCUAAGGUAGCGAAAUUCCUUGUCGGGUAAGUUCCGACCCGCACGAAAGGCGUAACGAUUUGGGCACUGUCUCAACGAGAGACUCGGUGAAAUCAUAGUACCUGUGAAGAUGCAGGUUACCCGCGACAGGACGGAAAGACCCCGUGGAGCUUUACUGUAGCCUGAUAUUGAAAUUCGGCACAGCUUGUACAGGAUAGGUAGGAGCCUUUGAAACGUGAGCGCUAGCUUACGUGGAGGCGCUGGUGGGAUACUACC
rnacentral:rRNA from 1 species